rnacentral:lncRNA from 1 species
CAUUAUCACUAAAUAACUGACAUUUUACUAGCAGAGUUAUGAGCACCUACAUCACUGGAAUUCUUUCCUCUUACUCUUUUUUCUUAAUACCACUGACCAACUAGUGGAAGAACUCCUCUUCUUUGUGAAGCCUAUGAGAAGAUGCCUUCACAUGGCAGAGAAAUUAGAGAACGUUUCCUCCUGCAAGCAGCAUAACUACAUGGACAAUGGGUUUCUCUCCCAGAGGUUUCUUCAUGCAAAGAAAACUGUGAAUACAUUUCUUGUUUGUGGCCAUGACUUCUAUAUUCAAGUACUUCCAAAGAUCCUCCCAGUUGCUGAGGACCAUUCUGCACUCCUGCAUUAAUAGCCCUCAGGCUGACCUGGGUCUGUGGCUGAUCACCCUUCUGAGGCAUUGUCAAAGAAGACCAGUGUAAAAAAUUCUGGGACUUUUUAGUGUGGAAGCACUAUUA